GUGGGGAAUAUUGGACAAUGGGCGAAAGCCUGAUCCAGCCAUGCCGCGUGUGUGAAGAAGGUCUUCGGAUUGUAAAGCACUUUAAGUUGGGAGGAAGGGCAGUAAGUUAAUACCUUGCUGUUUUGACGUUACCGACAGAAUAAGCACCGGCUAACUUCGUGCCAGCAGCCGCGGUAAUACGAAGGGUGCAAGCGUUAAUCGGAAUUACUGGGCGUAAAGCGCGCGUAGGUGGUUUUGUAAGUUGGAGGUGAAAUCCCCGGGCUCAACCUGGGAACUGCCUCCAAAACUGCAUGACUAGAGUACGGUAGAGGGUAGUGGAAGUUCCUGUGUAGCGGUGAAAUGCGUAGAUAUAGGAAGGAACACCAGUGGCGAAGGCGACUACCUGGACUGAUACUGACACUGAGGUGCGAAAGCGUGGGGAGCAAACAGGAUUAGAUACCCGUGUAGUCC
rnacentral:rRNA from 1 species